rnacentral:rRNA from 1 species
UACGGGGGGAGCAAGCGUUGUUCGGAUUUACUGGGCGUAAAGGGCGCGUAGGCGGCGUGACAAGUCACUUGUGAAAUCUCCGGGCUUAACUCGGAACGGUCAAGUGAUACUGUCGUGCUAGAGUACAGAAGGGGCAACUGGAAUUCUCGGUGUAGCGGUGAAAUGCGUAGGUAUAGGCGAGGAACAUCAGUGGCGAAGGCGGCCUUCUGGUCCAGUACUGACACUCAAGUGCGAAAGCGUGGGGAGCAAACAGG